AUACCGGCCAGAGACCGAUAGCGCACAAGUAGAGUGAUCGAAAGAUGAAAAGCACUUUGAAAAGAGGGUUAAAAAGUACGUGAAAUUGUUGAAAGGGAAGCAUUUAUGACCAGACUUGGGCUUGGUUGAACAUCCGGCGUUCUCGCCGGUGCACUCUGCCAGUCCAGGCCAGCAUCAGUUUGCCCCGGGGGACAAAGGUGGCGGGAAUGUAGCACCCUCCGGGGUGUGUUAUAGCCCGUCGCGUAAUGCCCUGGGGCGGACUGAGGAACGCGCUUCGGCUCGGAUGCUGGCGUAAUGGUCAUCAAUGACCCGUCUUGAAACACGGACC
rnacentral:rRNA from 1 species